CUUACGCUGGGAUGGAUCUAAGUACCUUGAAACUGAAAACCUGAGUGUGAUGUUAGAAGAGAAAGUAAAGAGAUUGAAAGAAUGAAACUGCUGAAUGUCAAACUCACAAAGACCUACUGGAAUUCAGGACAAAAUCCAAAUUCAGUGCAUGGAGACAGACAGCAGCCUACGGAGCCAAAUGGGAAUUUCACUGCUCUGAGGAGUCCCUG
rnacentral:lncRNA from 12 species